rnacentral:lncRNA from 1 species
UGACAACCUUUCUUCCUCCUCUUACACAUCAAACUCUAAGGGAUGUGAUAUGAAGAGCAAGAAGAUGACAGGAUGUGAGGCACAAAUGUGGAGGCUACAAGGAUCCCUGAUUGAAGCAUCUCCUCCCACCCUCACUCCUCAGCACCAACUCUGCAUCACGGAUAACUGCAGGACCCCUCUGGGAGGGUCAGGAAUGCCUCUGAAUGAGUCAUGCUUGAAGACUAAUAGUCUAGUAGAAAAGAGGCCAAAUUAAUGUAGCUCAUUAAAGUACUUUGUCGAAUGCUAAAAUGUGCUACCAACUGAGAAUAUUUUCUCAGAUGCUGCUGAAGAAUGGGAAGAAUGCCAAAAGUCAGCCCUGCUCAAAUUAAGGGCUGAGAUGCUGCAGGCUACCCCAAGACUGGGGACAAACCAAAGAGCCCAUGUCACUCAUUGCCAUUUUUACCAUGAACUCUCAACACAGUUUUAUAGAGUUUGUGGUCCAAGACUUUAGUAGGCAACAGAGGAUCUCCUCAAUUUUUCUGCAUUUUUAUGUGUAUAUCUAUAAAUCAAAUUGAAAAUUCUGAGCAGAUGCAGGUUCUCUCUUAACCCAACUAUUUCAUGAAGCUAGCCCACUGUACACUUUCCAAACUCUGUCCUAAGUCUUCAAAUACUCAAGAACCCUCCUUAGAUGACAUAUCAACCUCCUUCCCCUUUUAACCAAUGAAUGAUAUAACCAUUGAAAUGGUAUGGAUUGUUUUAAGCCUUUGGUAUUUGCUGAAAAGAACAGUUCAAGGUAACAGAGUUUGGCUUAUAAGGAGAAAAGUGAACCCAAAGUAUCCCAGCUGCUUCCUUUUUUAAAAUGUAUAUAACAUGUAUUUGUGUGUAUGUGUGUGUUGAGUUGGGUCUCUGUGGGGGCAUGGUGUGUGUACCACAGUUUGCAUGAAGAAAGAGAACAGUUUGCAAGUGUUUGUUCUUUCCUUCCACCAUGUGGGUUACAGGGAUCAAACUCAGAUGUCAGGCUUGGUGGCAAGUCCCUUUUCCCAUAGAACCAUCUUGCUGGCACAGACCAGCUACCUUCUUGUUAAAGCUGCAUGUAUGUAACAUUAUGUAUCUUAUCACCUUGUUGUAAUAAAAUACACAGACAAAAGCAAUGGAGAAAGGGCUUACUUUGGCUCCAGGGCAUUCUCCAGAAACUUGAGGCAGCUGGUUGCCUUGUAGCCACAGUCAGGCAAGCAGAGAGAGAUGGAUGCCCACACUUGGCAAGCUUCUCCCUUUUUAUGUGGUCUAGGAACCAGGACAUGGUGUCAUACGAGUCUAAAUAGAGGUAUAUGGUGGAUUUUAUCACCCAAACUUAAGCUAAAGCAUGCCCAAAGACGAUCAUAAUCUGAAAAAAAAUCUUGACAGUGUGUUUGGAGGCUUGUCUUCUGGGUGAAUCUGUCAGCAUUGGAGGACAGAGACACUUCAUAUUAUCACCCACAGAAACCCAAGGAUGUCCCCUAGACUACUACGGAUCUCAUCCCAAACCAGAUCAUGAGUUGUUGCUCUGAUGAAGAAAAAAAUGCAAGAGCUAGCCUGUUUAUGCCAUAGACAUGAGCUCUAUGAAGAUAGUAUAGCAUAGGCUUAGACAUAAGAGGUAGCAAAAGAGAAGCACUCAAAAGAAAAUGAGACACACAACAAGAUCACGAGAGUAGGGCUUUCAAAGAAGAACCAUAGUUCAUUAAUUUUUAUAGUAAUUAUAUAUCAGAUUCCGUAAAGGAUGACUAAUGUUUCAAACUCCAAAGUCCAGGUAUUAUCUAAGACUUAAGUCAGUAUCAACACAGUCAGCUGCAGGGAAAAUGUUCAGCACCUGGGACUUACAACAGACACCUGAGGACUCCAAAGGCAUUUGGUAGUGCCAUCCCCCCAGCGUUGCUGUUUGCUACAUAGACAAUAUCUCUCUUGAUUCAGUUCCUUUCCAUGCAGAUAGCUUUUCUUCCAUACGAGUCCUGUGCGGGAAUCACUAAGAUUCUUGAGUCUCUGUUCUAAAUUAGGCUUCACCUUCACACCACACAUUGUCCUCUCGGGGCUUCCUUCUGGGACUCUACUGCUGCCCUACUUUGCCUAUCCUUGAAUGAUUUAUAACAUGGUGGCCCACGACUCCCUCAGUCUUGCAUCUUUUAUGUCUGUGACACAGGAACCAUGUGGACAACUCUACCAAGUUUACUGAUUCCUUGAGAUGUUGCCUGCCCCCCUUGGCUGACUUUCUGUGUGCUGAGCCCAGGGAAACACUGUCCUAGGCAGUCGUUGCUGAAGACCAGUGAAUUCCCUUAGCUGCAUUCUCAGCUCAAGCUCUUUCAUUUCAAACAAGUGUAGGUUUUACACAAGUUAGAGCUGCGAGUGAGCAGCCUUUCCUUGGGACCUCUAAGGGCAGGACGUUUCUCGCUGGCAGUUAUAGCCUGUCUCUUAGCACACACCUGCGGGUAGUUUAACUUGCUCUAGCUCUUUCCUUCUUCUACAAGCCACACAUUGUUCAUGUUUCUGUCCAACUUUUGGCUUUUUGUUGUUGUUGUUAUUGUUGUUGUUCAGUGUAGACCUAGAUAAAUGCAGUAAAAGGAGCCAUACCACUGCCUGAAUGAUCAUCUGUGUUGAAAUUUCCUCUGCCAAACAAAUUACUCUGUUAUCCUUAAAUUCACUUUCUCUCAAGUUCUCAGGACACAGGUGGAAUGAAGAUUAUUGGCCAAAGUAUCAAACAAGAGCCCUGUACUAAUUCCUGAUAGAUUCCUUGUUCCCCUCUGACCUGAGUGGUCACUAUCUGCACUCACAUCAGUCUUGUCUUUCAGACUUCCACCAGAAUGUCCUCUUAAGCCCUGUUCUAAAUUUUGUGGAGCUAAUAUAGCCUGAAGUUCAAAAUUCUUCCAUAUACCAGCUACAGAACACUUUCAAAAGCCGAAGAACCACAUAAUCAGGUCAAUUGGGGCAAUGGCCCCAUUUCUUGGUGCCAGUUCUCUUAGUUUCUUGUCUUGUUACUAUGAUAAUAUCCUAACUAAAUCAACUUGAAGUAGAAAUGGCUUGCUGUGGCUCACAGUUCUAGGAUAAUAUCCAUCCUGUGGACUUUGUGGCAGGAGUUUGGGGCAUCUUGUCAUGCUACAUCCACAGUCAGAGAGCAGAGAGAGCUGGGAGUUCGUGUUCAGCCAUGGUCCUUGUUUUUAUUCAGUUCAGGCCCCAAGCCCAAGGAAUUAGGCCACUGUUCUUUAGGAUGGAUCUUCCUGCUUAGAUUAAGGUGAUGAAGGUAACCCUUCAAAUACAUGCCCCAAAUCUCGCAGACUAAAAACAAUCCCUCACAAGUGUAUCUGGAG